rnacentral:rRNA from 1 species
AGAGUUUGAUCAUGGCUCAGAUUGAACGCUGGCGGCAGGCCUAACACAUGCAAGUCGAACGUAACAGGAAGAAGCUUGCUUCUUUGCUGACGAGUGGCGGACGGGUGAGUAAUGUCUGGGAAACUGCCUGAUGGAGGGGGAUAACUACUGGAAACGGUAGCUAAUACCGCAUAACGUCGCAAGACCAAAGAGGGGGACCUUCGGGCCUCUUGCCAUCGGAUGUGCCCAGAUGGGAUUAGCUAGUAGGUGGGGUAACGGCUCACCUAGGCGACGAUCCCUAGCUGGUCUGAGAGGAUGACCAGCCACACUGGAACUGAGACACGGUCCAGACUCCUACGGGAGGCAGCAGUGGGGAAUAUUGCACAAUGGGCGCAAGCCUGAUGCAGCCAUGCCGCGUGUAUGAAGAAGGCCUUCGGGUUGUAAAGUACUUUCAGCGGGAGGAAGGGAGUAAAGUUAAUACCUUUGCUCAUUGACGUUACCCGCAGAAGAAGCACCGGCUAACUCCGUGCCAGCAGCCCGCGGUAAUACGGAGGGUGCAAGCGUUAAUCGGAAUUACUGGGCGUAAAGCGCACGCAGGCGGUUUGUUAAGUCAGAUGUGAAAUCCCCGGGCUCAACCUGGGAACUGCAUCUGAUACUGGCAAGCUUGAGUCUCGUAGAGGGGGUAGAAUUCCAGGUGUAGCGGUGAAAUGCGUAGAGAUCUGGAGGAAUACCGGUGGCGAAGGCGGCCCCCUGGACGAAGACUGACGCUCAGGUGCGAAAGCGUGGGGAGCAAACAGGAUUAGAUACCCUGGUAGUCCACGCCGUAAACGAUGUCGACUUGGAGGUUGUGCCCUUGAGGCGUGGCUUCCGGAGCUAACGCGUUAAGUCGACCGCCUGGGGAGUACGGCCGCAGGUUAAAACUCAAAUGAAUUGACGGGGGCCCGCACAAGCGGUGGAGCAUGUGGUUUAAUUCGAUGCACGCGAAGAACCUUACCUGGUCUUGACAUCCACGGAAGUUUUCAGAGAUGAGAAUGUGCCUUCGGGAACCGUGAGACAGGUGCUGCAUGGCUGUCGUCAGCUCGUGUUGUGAAAUGUUGGGUUAAGUCCCGCAACGAGCGCAACCCUUAUCCUUUGUUGCCAGCGGUCCGGCCGGGAACUCAAAGGAGACUGCCAGUGAUAAACUGGAGGAAGGUGGGGAUGACGUCAAGUCAUCAUGGCCCUUACGACCAGGGCUACACACGUGCUACAAUGGCGCAUACAAAGAGAAGCGACCUCGCGAGAGCAAGCGGACCUCAUAAAGUGCGUCGUAGUCCGGAUUGGAGUCUGCAACUCGACUCCAUGAAGUCGGAAUCGCUAGUAAUCGUGGAUCAGAAUGCCACGGUGAAUACGUUCCCGGGCCUUGUACACACCGCCCGUCACACCAUGGGAGUGGGUUGCAAAAGAAGUAGGUAGCUUAACCUUCGGGAGGGCGCUUACCACUUUGUGAUUCAUGACUGGGGUGAAGUCGUAACAAGGUAACCGUAGGGGAACCUGCGGUUGGAUCACCU